rnacentral:tRNA from 1 species
UCCCUGGUGGUCCAGCGGGUAAGACUUUGCGCUCCCAAUGCAGGGGGCCUGGGUUCAAUCCCUGGUCGGGGGU